AGUGAACGCUGGCGGUAGGCCUAACACAUGCAAGUCGAACGGCAGCACAGUAAGAGCUUGCUCUUACGGGUGGCGAGUGGCGGACGGGUGAGGAAUACAUCGGAAUCUACUUUUUCGUGGGGGAUAACGAAGGGAAACUUACGCUAAUACCGCAUACGACCUACGGGUGAAAGCAGGGGAUCUUCGGACCUUGCGCGAUUGAAUGAGCCGAUGUCGGAUUAGCUAGUUGGCGGGGUAAAGGCCCACCAAGGCGACGAUCCGUAGCUGGUCUGAGAGGAGGAUCGCCGACACUAGAACGGAGACAGGGACCAGACUACUAAGAGAGGGAGCAGUGUGGAAUAUUAGACAACGGGCGCAAGUAUGAUCCAGCCAGAGCGAGUGGGAGGAGACGACCCUCGGUUUGUAAAGCCCGUUUGUUGGGAAUGAAAAGCAGCAGGUUGAUACCAAGCUGAUCUGACGGUACCCAAAGAAUAAGCACCGGCUAACUUCGUG
rnacentral:rRNA from 1 species